rnacentral:lncRNA from 1 species
UGUAUGUCUUUAUCUGCCUCAGCAGAUUCUUCUUCUAUACAUUUGCUAUUCGCUUCUUAAAGAUUUUGCUCUGUAGUGAUGUUUAAGUAUAUACUUUUCCAUUUUCAGAGAAACAAAGUAAGAUAGCAUGAUGUUUUUCACGCCAGUAGCGUGAAAACAGGUGGUUCUUGACACUAUUCAGUAAUGGGACUGAGAACAGCAAGACCUGAAGAUUUCCAUGGCUUGUUACUGAGUCUUGAAUGACAGAUCGUCCUACACAUUAAUCAGCAGUUGUGGUGAAGGGAUCUAGUGGUUUUCUGUUAUAAUCCUUAUUUAAUAUCUCUAUAAUAUUUUCCUCAGUAGCUCUAAAACCGUUUUGCAGAAAAGUACUCUUGAAGAGUGAUAUAUAUAUAUAUAUAAAACAUUUUAUAUCUCUGAUAUUUUGUGAAAUCAACAAAAUUUUGUGUUGUAAUAAGGCUUACUAAAUUUGAUUCUGCAUCUUUACAUGUGAUCUAGGCAAGUUAUUCUUUGGGUGGUGUGGGAAUGGGUAUUUGAAAUUAAAGGGUUGAAGUGGAGAGGGUACAAUUGCUUUGAUCUCUGGUUUUGGCAUUAGUCACUGUUUUUAUGCCAGCAGCAUGUUUCUUAAAUGUAAAAUAACAAUUUUGUGUAGAAUUGACAUAUACAUAAUGCUGAAGAACCUGGUAUCUAUGAAUAUCCUACUACAGAAGACAGGGAACCAUUUGCAUUUUUAAUUAUUCAUUAUCUCUAAGCAUGAUUUUUCUCUGUCAAAAAUAAAUAUAUCCCAUCGGGUGUUCUCAGUGAGACCUAUGGUGAGGGGCACUGAAUAAGAACACCAAGCAGGAUAUGGUUCUUACCCUGUAUCCAUUCAGGUGACAAACAAAAACUGUUCCUGACCCAUACCAUUUACAACCUAAGAUUUGGAAAGUGACCUGUAUGCUGAAUCCUGCCUAUGAACCAUUUCUACCAGAUAGACCAUCUUUCCCUGCCAAGAGAGACAUGGAAUGAGGAUUACAGCAGGGACUAAUCCCCCAAAACUGGAAGGUGUCCUCUCUCCUUGAAGCUGUUACCCCCUCUCUGUUUUUGAACAUUGGUCUUGAAGAUGUCAUUAUCUGUGUGAUCAAGAGAACAGACUUUUAAUGCUGGUGAAGGACUGGUGAGCAAGGUGCUUUCUCUCCCGCCGUAUCCUGCGCCACGUAAACAAACUGAUGCGGUACAUUGCAGGAGGUCUCUGGUGUCUGAUGAGCUGAUGAAAGUACUGAUCACUUGGCCACAGGUGAGUGAGCAAAACUGCUAUGAGGUCUUUUUGAAUGGCAGUAGCUUUUUUACUUGUACAACAUGCCGCUAGUUUCUCUCUAUUUUGUUCUCCUCUAUGCUAUUUAUCUACAGAUGGUUAUUUUUAAGCCUGAAGAGCUGAGCACUGGUUGUAAGCUUGUAUCCUGAGGCUUCAGACACCCUUUAAUGUCAUUCAAUUCCCAUGUUUGUUUGCUUUUUUCCGAGACCUCCACAGUUUCUGCUGAUCGAUGUCGUACUUUGGGAGUGUGUUUCUAGGGUCAUACAGCAUGGCCAGCUCCUGAUCAACUGGAAAAUAAGCAACAAAAAAAUACAUAAGAUGAAUUUUUAAAUGAAAAGGAGCUAGCACUUAUUGUUAAAAGCUUAUUUAAGAUUGAAGAUGCAUGAGUGGUGCACUAGUAUUGGUUUACAUGUUUCUUUAAGUUUUCUGAAUGCAAAACAGCGACCAUACCUAUUUCCAAUGAAUCUCUGACAUAAACUCUUUUGACACUGAAGGAAAUAGACUAUUCUCAUUUGCCUCUACCACCUUUCGGUCAGAAUAAAAUCCUUCAACGACUACAAUAGGAGCAUAGAAUCAGUAUAUCCUGAGUUAGAAGAGACAUACAAGGAUCUCUGAGUCCAACUUCUGGCUUA